GUGGGGAAUCUUAGACAAUGGGGGAAACCCUGAUCUAGCCAUGCCGCGUGAGCGAUGAAGGCCUUAGGGUUGUAAAGCUCUUUCAGCUGGGAAGAUAAUGACGGUACCAGCAGAAGAAGCCCCGGCUAACUCCGUGCCAGCAGCCGCGGUAAUACGGAGGGGGCUAGCGUUGUUCGGAAUUACUGGGCGUAAAGCGCGCGUAGGCGGACCAGAAAGUUGGAGGUGAAAUCCCAGGGCUCAACCUUGGAACUGCCUUCAAAACUCCUGGUCUGGAGUUCGAGAGAGGUGAGUGGAAUGCCGAGUGUAGAGGUGAAAUUCGUAGAUAUUCGGAGGAACACCAGUGGCGAAGGCGGCUCACUGGCUCGAUACUGACGCUGAGGUGCGAAAGCGUGGGGAGCAAACAGGAUUAGAUACCCCUGUAGUCC
rnacentral:rRNA from 1 species